rnacentral:misc_RNA from 1 species
GUUCAAUGUGUGUUAAGCACCCAUCAUGACAUUGGUUUGGCAAGAGUGGUGCUAAUGGCAGCUGACAACAUACCUCCUCUGCAGGAACUCACAUAUGAUUAUGGCUAUGUUCUGGAUAGUGUUAUGGAUCGUGAGGGGAAAGUUAAACAAAUGGCUUGCUACUGUGGUGCUGCUGACUGUCGUAAACGCUUGUUUUAAUGGGAUAUGUGUUGUCUUUAGCUCACAAUUACAUAUUUUUUGGGUUUCCAUAUGCUGAUUUCUCAUCUUCUGCACUUGUGUGUAGUGGAUACUAACGUUGGGAAAUUUGGU